rnacentral:tRNA from 1 species
GCCAUCAUGGCUUAGUGGUUGAGCAUUGACCUAUGAACCAGGAGGUCAGGGUUCAAUUCCCGGUCAAGGCA